CCCUUGAGAGGCAUGGACCUGGAAGUUGCAAGAAUUUUCUGCACCUGAUGGAUUUACAAUGACACUUGGCUCCCUAGAUUA
ensembl:misc_RNA